GCUGACCACAGGCAGGAACACCUUAAGCCACCAUGGGAUGGAAAACCAAGAAACAAAUGCAAGAUACACCAGCCACAGGACUCACAAUAGGGGAAAUAUGGCGGCAGGCAUGUGGCCCGAGCAGAUCCAAUAUGGCGGCGCUCCACGGAGGCUGCACGGAUUUCUCAGAUCAUUAUUCAGGGGACGAAGAAACCCAGCAAAUCCAGGAAAGACCCUGAUGCCAAACUGGUGACUACUGGGGUACUGAAGUCCCUGCUAGCAGACCUACAGAAAAACAUCCUAGCGGAUGUCAUCGCACUAAGGGGAGAGCUGCAGGGCCUGACAGGCCGCAUCACAGCGCUAGAGGAAUCCUCCCAAGAACAGCAGCGCACCAUAACCUCGCUGCAGAACGACAUGCGGGACCUGCGCCGCCAAAAUGAGCUGUAUGAACGGCGCUUCGCAGCCCAGGAGGACACUAGACGAAGACUCAACAUAAAGGUCAGGGGGAUUUCGGAGGGGUUACCAGGGAAGGAUUUGCCGCGCACGAUCAAGCGCAUACUAACC